GCAGUUAAAACGCUCGUAGUCGGGUUUCGGGUCGGGCCGAGCGGUCUGCCGAUGGGUAUGCACUGUUUGGCGCGGCCUUCUUUCCGGAGACCGCGGCUACUCUUAACUGAGCGGGCGUGGGAGACGGAUCGUUUACUUUGAAAAAAUCAGAGUGUUUCAAGCAGGCAGCUCGCUCUUGCAUGGUACAGCAUGGGAUGAUUGAAUAGGACUCCGGUGCUAUUUUGUUGGUUUCGAACACCAGGAGUAAUGAUUAACAGGGACAGUCAGGGGCACUCGUAUUCCGUCGAGAGAGGUGAAAUUCUCAGACCAAUGGAAGACGAACCACUGCGAAAGCAUUUGCCAGGGAUGUUUUCACUGAUCAAGAACGAAAGUUAGGGGAUCGAAGACGAUCAGAUACCGUCGUAGUCUUAACCAUAAACCAUGCCGACUAGGGAUUGGAGGGUGUUCGUUUCGACCUCUUCAGCACCUUACGGGAAACUAAAGUCUUUGGGUUCCGGGGGGAGUAUGGUCGCAAGGCUGAAACUUAAAGGAAUUGACGGAAGGGCACCACCAGGAGUGGAGCCUGCGGCUUAAUUUGACUCAACACGGGGAAACUUACCAGGUCCAGACAUUGUUAGGAUUGACAGAUUGAGAGCUCUUUCUUGAUUCGAUGGGUGGUGGUGCAUGGCCGUUCUUAGUUGGUGGAGUGAUUUGUCUGGUUAAUUCCGAUAACGAACGAGACCGUAGCCUGCUAAAUAGUCCCGCGAACUUCUUGUUGGCGGCCGACUUCUUAGAGGGACAACUUGUGACCAACAAGUGGAAGUUUGCGGCAAUAACAGGUCUGUGAUGCCCUUAGAUGUUCUGGGCCGCACGCGCGCUACACUGAAGCACUCAACGAGUCCACCUCGACCGACAGGUCUGGGAAACCUUUUGAAAUUGCUUCGUGAUGGGGAUAGAUUAUUGCAACUAUUAAUCUUCAACGAGGAAUUCCUAGUAAGCGCAUGUCAUCAGCGUGCGUUGAUUACGUCCCUGCCCUUUGU
rnacentral:rRNA from 1 species